UGGGGAAUUUUGGACAAUGGGCGAAAGCCUGAUCCAGCAAUGCCGCGUGUGUGAAGAAGGCCUUCGGGUUGUAAAGCACUUUUGUCCGGAAAGAAAUCCUUGGCUCUAAUACAGUCGGGGGAUGACGGUACCGGAAGAAUAAGCACCGGCUAACUACGUGCCAGCAGCCGCGGUAAUACGUAGGGUGCAAGCGUUAAUCGGAAUUACUGGGCGUAAAGCGUGCGCAGGCGGUUUGCUAAGACCGAUGUGAAAUCCCCGGGCUCAACCUGGGAACUGCAUUGGUGACUGGCAGGCUAGAGUAUGGCAGAGGGGGGUAGAAUUCCACGUGUAGCAGUGAAAUGCGUAGAGAUGUGGAGGAAUACCGAUGGCGAAGGCAGCCCCCUGGGCCAAAUACUGACGCUCAUGCACGAAAGCGUGGGGAGCAAACAGGAUUAGAUACCCUGGUAGUCCAUUCGCCCUAAACGAUGUCAACUAGUUGUUGGGGAUUCAUUCCUUAGUAACGUAGCUAACGCGUGAAGUUGACCGCCUGGGGAGUACGGUCGCAAGAUUAAAACUCAAAUGAAUUGACGGGGUCAUAGCUGUUUCCU
rnacentral:rRNA from 1 species